CAUAAUAAUUUUUUUUUAUUUUUAAUUUUCGCCUUGUUAUCUUGCCUCUUCUGGAUGAUGACUGUACUAUUUACCCUGAUUUAAAGCUGUCUAAUUCCAGAUACUGCAAGUCAAGAGAAGGAGAGAUUGGAAGAGAAGCAAAGAGCUGCCAGAAGAGUAGCGUAGCUAAAGAUGAGGAAGAAUGGUCUGCGAGAUGGUUCCAGCAAGGCAAUAAUCGGUACACUGGAGCUGCAGACUGGAUCUACAAGGGUGGUUACUUUGACAGAAGGUACUCUGACCUUCCAGACAUCUACUGAUUCGGUCGGGAAGACUGAGAUUCAGUCUUGAGAUUCAUCCUUUGCUCUCCUUCACCCAAUCCAUAUCAUCUCCUCUCCUUAAGCUCUUUUCAUUUUUUCAUCGGAAUGUGAGAUUCAUGUGAACAGUUUUUGGACAAAGCCUCUCCACGAGUUCCUCUCUUCCACUAGAAUCUGAAAAUGUAGUGUGAAUGGAUUUAUUUAUUUUGAGAAGUAGGGAAUGCCUUAAUAAUUCUUAUUUUCUUUUUCGUGUAUGUUAGAUUUUGUCUGUGCAAACCUCAGUAUGUUUAGAAAAUGCUAGUUUAUGUACAGUAUGUACUAACCUACCUUUCCAUGCAUCUCGCUAGAUACACUCAGGUGUUCAGUUUAUGGGUACAAGCGGUUAGUGAUGGCAUCACUGCGAUGCCAUCUGUUAAUUUUUUUUUUGGUCAUUGUUGAAAUGUGAGGCUGCUCAGAACCUAUUAGGAGAGCAUAAUUUUGUGUUUUUGUUCAAACUAAUGCUAUCUUAUCAUCUCUAUUAUAUGCUUUUUUCCUUAUCUCAGAAAUAUGACCUCUGUUUUGUGGUAUGUAUGAUGUGCAGGAACUUCACAGUUAAAGAUUCUGCCUGAUUAUGAGUACCUGAGAAUGAAAAGGAGUUUAUUUUUUCGAAUUAUCCCACCUUUGUUUAGAAAUUAUGGUUAUAUCUUGCUGAUAAGGCUCUUGGGCCAUUUCUCACCAUCUCCAUGGUACACGGGAGUUUACUAAAAACUAAUAUUCUCAUUCCUCACACGUUUAGAAAUGUUUUAGAUCUUGUUUUGUUUUUGUUUGACAGACAAAAAUGAAAGCUGCUCAUGGAAAAUGUUUAACUUAAGGUAAAAAAAAAAAAAAACUACGUUUAAG
rnacentral:lncRNA from 1 species